GAUGAACGCUAGCGGCAGGCCUAAUACAUGCAAGUCAAGGGGGCAGCAAUGUCACCGGCGGACGGGUGCGUAACGCGUACAGAACGUGCCUUUGGGCGGGGGAUAGCGUUGGGAAACUGACGGUAAUACCCCAUGGCAUCGAGGACCGGCAUCGGUUUUCGAUUAAAAGUUACGGCGCCCAAAGAUCGCUGUGCGUCCGAUUAGCUAGUUGGCGGGGUAACGGCCCACCAAGGCGACGAUCGGUAGGGGGUGUGAGAGCAUGGCCCCCCACACGGGUACUGAGACACGGACCCGACUCCUACGGGAGGCAGCAGUAAGGAAUAUUGGACAAUGGAGGGAACUCUGAUCCAGCCAUGCCGCGUGAAGGACGAAGGCGCUCAGCGUUGUAAACUUCUUUUGAAUGGGAACAAAACACCGGACUUGUCCGGGACUGAGGGUACCAUUAGAAUAAGCACCGGCUAACUCCGUGCCAGCAGCCGCGGUAAU
rnacentral:rRNA from 1 species